rfam:Felis catus isolate Cinnamon breed Abyssinian chromosome X, whole genome shotgun sequence.
GCCUGGGUGGCUCAGUAGGUUAAGCGUCUGACUCCAGCUCAGGUCAUGAUCUCAGUUCCUGGGUUCGAGCCCCAGGUCGGGCU